ensembl:antisense Fcnaos ficolin A, opposite strand
GCGCCAAUCAGGGUCCUCCACCGCUGCUCCGCUAGUGUCGCCGCACAGCUGUUCUCUGGAGGUCUCCUGUCAGAGUUGAUGACUCCAAGGUGUCCCUCACCUUUGUGUCAACCUGCAGGGCAGCACCCAUUAUCAUCUUGGAGAGCACAUGGGCUUUGUGGGGACCCCUCCAUGGCCCAGGGUUACCUCCUCAUUUCUGGACAACGUUUGCAUGCGCUCAGCCAGAUACCUGGAAUGAGCUGUACUUGGCAUAGGAGCCUUUCCCUUGGAAAUCUUGUCCCAUCUUUCCUGGGCUGCCCUGAAAGCCCCGUUCUCCUGUAAACACAAGGACUAAACUGGAUCUCAUCUCCUAGGCUGCCCUUCUAAAAUGUCCCAUCUCCUGCUGCCACAUGUGCAGGCAUAUGCAGGCCUGAACCCUGAGGUUCAUCGGAGUAGCCAGCUCUCUAACAGCAAUGGCUUCCCCCAUCUCCAACUGCAGCAAGCUGAGCACAGCCCAGGCGUGUUGUAUGCAGCAGGCGGCUUAUAAGUGUUGUAUCCAGCAGGCGGCUUAUAUUGCAGCAGCUUCUGGCUGAGUCUCCAGUUCCCAACUCCCUGCAGAGGCACGGGGACUCAUGCACAACUGCUUCUGGUUUUCUAUAUUCUCUCAGGGAAUCUGAAGUAUUGGCUACAGACCCAGGCUUGCCUGCCACUUCAAGGUGCAGAGUGCCUUUAUAAGCUGGCCCUGAGAAGUGUCCAGUGUGUAGCUUCCACUUGUGCAGCCGGAGCUGUCACCCUGGUCCGAUCAGUCUUGGAGUGUGCAUUCAAUAAACCAACCCUGUUUAACUG